rnacentral:rRNA from 1 species
GGGUUGUGAGGUUAAGCGACUAAGCGUACACGGUGGAUGCCCUGGCAGUCAGAGGCGAUGAAGGACGUGCUAAUCUGCGAUAAGCGUCGGUGAGGUGAUAUGAACCGUUAUAACCGGCGAUUUCCGAAUGGGGAAACCCAGUGUGUUUCGACACACUAUCAUUAACUGAAUCCAUAGGUUAAUGAGGCGAACCGGGGGAACUGAAACAUCUAAGUACCCCGAGGAAAAGAAAUCAACCGAGAUUCCCCCAGUAGCGGCGAGCGAACGGGGAGGAGCCCAGAGCCUGAAUCAGUGUGUGUGUUAGUGGAAGCGUCUGGAAAGGCGUGCGAUACAGGGUGACAGCCCCGUACACAAAAAUGCACAUAUUGUGAGCUCGAUGAGUAGGGCGGGACACGUGGUAUCCUGUCUGAAUAUGGGGGGACCAUCCUCCAAGGCUAAAUACUCCUGACUGACCGAUAGUGAACCAGUACCGUGAGGGAAAGGCGAAAAGAACCCCGGCGAGGGGAGUGAAAAAGAACCUGAAACCGUGUACGUACAAGCAGUGGGAGCCUCUUAAUGGGGUGACUGCGUACCUUUUGUAUAAUGGGUCAGCGACUUAUAUUCUGUAGCAAGGUUAACCGAAUAGGGGAGCCGAAGGGAAACCGAGUCUUAACUGGGCGUUAAGUUGCAGGGUAUAGACCCGAAACCCGGUGAUCUAGCCAUGGGCAGGUUGAAGGUUGGGUAACACUAACUGGAGGACCGAACCGACUAAUGUUGAAAAAUUAGCGGAUGACUUGUGGCUGGGGGUGAAAGGCCAAUCAAACCGGGAGAUAGCUGGUUCUCCCCGAAAGCUAUUUAGGUAGCGCCUCGUGAAUUCAUCUCCGGGGGUAGAGCACUGUUUCGGCAAGGGGGUCAUCCCGACUUACCAACCCGAUGCAAACUGCGAAUACCGGAGAAUGUUAUCACGGGAGACACACGGCGGGUGCUAACGUCCGUCGUGAAGAGGGAAACAACCCAGACCGCCAGCUAAGGUCCCAAAGUCAUGGUUAAGUGGGAAACGAUGUGGGAAGGCCCAGACAGCCAGGAUGUUGGCUUAGAAGCAGCCAUCAUUUAAAGAAAGCGUAAUAGCUCACUGGUCGAGUCGGCCUGCGCGGAAGAUGUAACGGGGCUAAACCAUGCACCGAAGCUGCGGCAGCGACGCUUAUGCGUUGUUGGGUAGGGGAGCGUUCUGUAAGCCUGUGAAGGUGUGCUGUGAGGCAUGCUGGAGGUAUCAGAAGUGCGAAUGCUGACAUAAGUAACGAUAAAGCGGGUGAAAAGCCCGCUCGCCGGAAGACCAAGGGUUCCUGUCCAACGUUAAUCGGGGCAGGGUGAGUCGACCCCUAAGGCGAGGCCGAAAGGCGUAGUCGAUGGGAAACAGGUUAAUAUUCCUGUACUUGGUGUUACUGCGAAGGGGGGACGGAGAAGGCUAUGUUGGCCGGG